rnacentral:rRNA from 1 species
UACGUAGGGGGCAAGCGUUGUCCGGAUUUAUUGGGCGUAAGGCGCGUGUAGGCGGCCAGCUAGGUCUGCUGUGAAAACUCGAGGCUCAACCUCGAGCUGUCGGCGGAAACCAUCUGGCUAGAGUCCGGAAGAGGAGAGUGGAAUUCCUGGUGUAGCGGUGAAAUGCGCAGAUAUCAGGAAGAACACCUAUGGCGAAGGCAGCUCUCUGGGACGGUACUGACGCUGAGACGCGAAAGCGUGGGGAGCGAACAGG